rnacentral:rRNA from 1 species
AUCUAGCCAUGGGCAGGUUGAAGGUUGGGUAACACUAACUGGAGGACCGAACCGACUAAUGUUGAAAAAUUAGCGGAUGACUUGUGGCUGGGGGUGAAAGGCCAAUCAAACCGGGAGAUAGCUGGUUCUCCCCGAAAGCUAUUUAGGUAGCGCCUCGUGAAUUCAUCUCCGGGGGUAGAGCACUGUUUCGGCAAGGGGGUCAUCCCGACUUACCAACCCGAUGCAAACUGCGAAUACCGGAGAAUGUUAUCACGGGAGACACACGGCGGGUGCUAACGUCCGUCGUGAAGAGGGAAACAACCCAGACCGCCAGCUAAGGUCCCAAAGUCAUGGUUAAGUGGGAAACGAUGUGGGAAGGCCCAGACAGCCAGGAUGUUGGCUUAGAAGCAGCCAUCAUUUAAAGAAAGCGUAAUAGCUCACUGGUCGAGUCGGCCUGCGCGGAAGAUGUAACGGGGCUAAACCAUGCACCGAAGCUGCGGCAGCGACGCUUAUGCGUUGUUGGGUAGGGGAGCGUUCUGUAAGCCUGCGAAGGUGUGCUGUGAGGUAUGCUGGAGGUAUCAGAAGUGCGAAUGCUGACAUAAGUAACGAUAAAGCGGGUGAAAAGCCCGCUCGCCGGAAGACCAAGGGUUCCUGUCCAACGUUAAUCGGGGCAGGGUGAGUCGACCCCUAAGGCGAGGCCGAAAGGCGUAGUCGAUGGGAAACAGGUUAAUAUUCCUGUACUUGGUGUUACUGCGAAGGGGGGACGGAGAAGGCUAUGUUGGCCGGGCGACGGUUGUCCCGGUUUAAGCGUGUAGGCUGAUUUUCCAGGCAAAUCCGGAAAAUCAAGGCUGAGGCGUGAUGACGAGGCACUACGGUGCUGAAGCAACAAAUGCCCUGCUUCCAGGAAAAGCCUCUAAGCAUCAGGUAACAUCAAAUCGUACCCCAAACCGACACAGGUGGUCAGGUAGAGAAUACCAAGGCGCUUGAGAGAACUCGGGUGAAGGAACUAGGCAAAAUGGUACCGUAACUUCGGGAGAAGGUACGCUGAUAUGUAGGUGAAGCGACUUGCUCGUGGAGCUGAAAUCAGUCGAAGAUACCAGCUGGCUGCAACUGUUUAUUAAAAACACAGCACUGUGCAAACACGAAAGUGGACGUAUACGGUGUGACGCCUGCCCGGUGCCGGAAGGUUAAUUGAUGGGGUUAGCGGUAACGCGAAGCUCUUGAUCGAAGCCCCGGUAAACGGCGGCCGUAACUAUAACGGUCCUAAGGUAGCGAAAUUCCUUGUCGGGUAAGUUCCGACCUGCACGAAUGGCGUAAUGAUGGCCAGGCUGUCUCCACCCGAGACUCAGUGAAAUUGAACUCGCUGUGAAGAUGCAGUGUACCCGCGGCAAGACGGAAAGACCCCGUGAACCUUUACUAUAGCUUGACACUGAACAUUGAGCCUUGAUGUGUAGGAUAGGUGGGAGGCUUUGAAGUGUGGACGCCAGUCUGCAUGGAGCCGGCCUUGAAAUACCACCCUUUAAUGUUUGAUGUUCUAACGUUGGCCCCUGAUCGGGGUUGCGGACAGUGUCUGGUGGGUAGUUUGACUGGGGCGGUCUCCUCCUAAAGAGUAACGGAGGAGCACGAAGGUUGGCUAAUCCUGGUCGGACAUCAGGAGGUUAGUGCAAUGGCAUAAGCCAGCUUGACUGCGAGCGUGACGGCGCGAGCAGGUGCGAAAGCAGGUCAUAGUGAUCCGGUGGUUCUGAAUGGAAGGGCCAUCGCUCAACGGAUAAAAGGUACUCCGGGGAUAACAGGCUGAUACCGCCCAAGAGUUCAUAUCGACGGCGGUGUUUGGCACCUCGAUGUCGGCUCAUCACAUCCUGGGGCUGAAGUAGGUCCCAAGGGUAUGGCUGUUCGCCAUUUAAAGUGGUACGCGAGCUGGGUUUAGAACGUCGUGAGACAGUUCGGUCCCUAUCUGCCGUGGGCGCUGGAGAACUGAGGGGGGCUGCUCCUAGUACGAGAGGACCGGAGUGGACGCAUCACUGGUGUUCGGGUUGUCAUGCCAAUGGCACUGCCCGGUAGCUAAAUGCGGAAGAGAUAAGUGCUGAAAGCAUCUAAGCACGAAACUUGCCCCGAGAUGAGUUCUCCCUGAGACUUAGAGUCUCCUGAAGGAACGUUGAAGACGACGACGUUGAUAGGCCGGGUGUGUAAGCGCAGCGAUGCGUUGAGCUAACCGGUACUAAUGAACCGUGAGGCUUAACCUUACAACGCCGAAG